AACGCUAGCUACAGGCUUAACACAUGCAAGUCGAGGGGCAUCAGGGUAGCAAUACCGCUGGCGACCGGCGCACGGGUGAGUAACACGUAUCCAACCUACCGUUAACUCGGGGAUAGCCUUUCGAAAGAAAGAUUAAUACCCGAUAGUAUAUUUUCUUCGCAUGUUGAGAAUAUUAAAGAAUUUCGGUUAUCGAUGGGGAUGCGUUCCAUUAGGCAGUUGGCGGGGUAACGGCCCACCAAACCUACGAUGGAUAGGGGUUCUGAGAGGAAGGUCCCCCACAUUGGAACUGAGACACGGUCCAAACUCCUACGGGAGGCAGCAGUGAGGAAUAUUGGUCAAUGGACGAAGGUCUGAACCAGCCAAGUAGCGUGAAGGAUGACUGCCCUAUGGGUUGUAAACUUCUUUUAUAUGGGAAUAAAGUUCUCCACGUGUGGAGUUUUGUAUGUACCAUUAUGAAUAAGCAUCGGCUAACUCCGUGCCAGCAGUCGCGGUAAUACGGAGGAUGCGAGCGUUAUCCGGAUUUAUUGGGUUUAAAGGGAGCGUAGGUGGACUGGUAAGUCAGUUGUGAAAGUUUGCGGCUCAACCGUAAAAUUGUAGUUGAUACUGUCAGUCUUGAGUACAGUAGAGGUGGGCGGAAUUCGUGGUGUAGCGGUGAAAUGCUUAGAUAUCACGAAGAACUCCGAUUG
rnacentral:rRNA from 1 species